GAGAAGUGCUAUCGCAAGCGGCAGGGUUUGCCUAGGAUUACCGAAUGGAAACCGGAGGUCGUUGCGCUUACGCUGGUGGCCCGAGAACAACAAUUCGUUCCCCAGCGGACUAGAGAGGAGGAGGACCUCGCCUACUACCGAAAUCUGCCUAGGAACGUGUCCAUGGUUUUUGGGCGGGCACCAUUUGUCGAGAAACUUCAGAGGGUUGUUUCGCAGUAUCCUGAGAACCCGUGGUGGCUGGAUUCCGGUAGUAAAUAUCAUAUUACGGGGGACCGAAGUAUCCU
rnacentral:lncRNA from 1 species